AGUGUGAAGGACAUUUUGCCAGAGUGUCCACAAGCUGGUGGGGGCGGCGGUAGUGGUCCGUUGACGUCACAAAUAUGGGGAAGGGGGACAUUUCUCGAAGGAUUGUCCACAAGAGGGUCGCGGCGGUGGUGGAAGCCGUACCUGCCAUGAGAUAAACAAAAAACAAAAAAAAACAUGAUUUUUAGUGCUCAUUUUUAACGAAGAAGAGGGCAAUAUAGCAAGGGAUUUUCCUCAAGGAGGAAGCAUUGGUGGCAGCAACUGUUACGAUUGUAAUGAAGCUGACCACACCUCGAAAGGCUGCCCAAAUCUCUUCAGUGAAUUGACGGAAGAUGGAAAGCCACAUGAGCAAUACAUUCCAGAAGCUGUGACAUGCGAUGAAAAGGAACUGUUUAAGGGCAUUGUCUAUGUGGGAACGCUUUAACAAUUUUGAUAAAGUUGUCCUCCAUGCUACAGGAAAAGAUGUACUUCAAUACAUAAGAUCAUUCGAAGAAGCCGGCCUGCACCAACUACUACUUCAAAACAUUAAGAAUUCUGGCUACAUAAAACCAACACCUGUUCAGAAAGCUUCAGUUGUAGUUAUUCUUGCCAAAAGAGGUUUAAUUGCUUGUGCGGUCACGGGCUCCGGAAAACGGCGGCGUACUUGGUACCGGUUAUGAACAUAUUGUUAGAACAAGGUGUUGUUGGUGCGUCUCAUGCCAUGGGGCAAAAGCCAGAAGUUGUAAUUGUCGCACCCACUCGUGAAUUGGCCAUUCAAAUUCACCGCGAGGCGUGUAAAUUCUCCUACAGUUCGGUUUUAAAGUCUGAUUAUAUAUGGAGGAACUCUCACGAGCCAUCAGCGGUCAAAUCUUCAAGCUGGGUGCAAUAUCUUUGUCGCGACCGCGGGGCGAUUCAAUGAUUUUCUCGACCAUGAAGUAUUUGACUUCUCGGGAGUCAGGUUUUAAAUUUUGGACGAAGCUGAUUUUGAAUGCUUGAUAUGGGUUUCGGUCCCAAUGUUGAAAAAAUUGUCAAUCAUCCAACGAUGCAUCCGAAAGGAAUCCGUCGUGUUUGUAUGUUUUCGGCUACAUUCCCAGAUGAAGUGCAAGAGCUGGCUGCGACGUACAUGGAAGACUACAUAUUCGUCACAACAGGCAUUGUCGGUGGCACCAAUCCGGGUGUUGAACAGCUGUUUUUUUUUUUUCAGUGCUCGAAAAGAGAUAAGAGAGCUAAGCUGAACGAAGUUUUACAAGAUCUCGGUGGUGCCAAGACUAUCCUUUUUGUCAACAGCAAAAAGACAGCGGAUUUCGUCGCUGCAUUCUCGUGCAAUAACAAC